UCAGUCCUGGGGGUUUCCAGCGCAGGGGCUUCUGGGAGGCCAGCGGGACUAUUAUGGGCUGGCGCUUCUUCCCCGCUCUGCCCCCUCGGUCCCGCUCGGGCGCCAGCCUGUCCGCGCCAGGUUUCUUACCCGGACCUCCUGUGGUGAGACAACCCCUGGAAGCGGUUAUUAUCUGGCUGGGCGGCCCCUUCAGCCCACAGCUCCCAACAAUCGAGCACCUCGUCUCGGGCCACUUUCCUGUGCUUUCUUACCUUGAGUUUCCUCAGGGUGCACUGUGAGGGGCAGAGAAGCUGGAGAAGAGAGGAUGCAGCAGCUGACUGCUUGAUGACCCGGCCAGCUGAAGCUCAUGGGCUGCACUGACGUGAUGGGGGCAGCUCUACGUCGACAAGAACACAACUGGCUGCGGAUCAAAUGGCCAAACAAUUGUGAGCUGAUUCAAGGAUGCAGCCUUGAGAGAGUAAGGUGUUGCUGAGACCAUCUGGACAUGAUACAGCACUGAACCCCAUCAAGACCUCUAGAAACGGCUGAAAUACAGGCGGGCUGGUGGAUGCUGAGAUCUGCUUGUCUUGUGGCACCCAAAACAAGCCUCACAGAUACUGUUUAAAGACAUGAGGAUGGAAGAACUAGAAAAUGAAGAUAGAGCAUAGAGGUCCAAGAGCAAAGUCAUAAGACUCUCCAAAAAGCAAGAAAACCAGGACUCUGUGGUGUCAUGGGCCAUGAUCUCUGAUACUUUGAGUGAAUGAGAGUUCACUGUCUGAGGAGACAAUGGUAGGAAAUUGUGUACCAGGCAGAAGGACCAGCAUGUGCCAAAGCCAAGAGUGAGGAAAAGUGUGGUCUGUAUCAGGAUCCUGACCUGAGGGCUGGCAGACCUCCUUUGGCCCAUUCAUGUCUUUUGUUUGGCUCAUUCAGUUUUUUGUUUGUUUGUUUGUCUUAGUGGAAUUAGUUACCAACAUUUGAAAAUAGAGAAAUUUCACAUUAAACAAAAAUUCGGAUACCUGCCAUCUCUUGAAUAAUCUGUGUAUUUCACAGCACUGGCUCAUGUUCCCCCAGAGCAAGAACUGGCCAUUGCUAAGUAGCUGCUGGUCCCUUAGGAAGCAUUGUAUGUUUUGCUGCAGGGGUUCCCCCUACCCCCACCUCGUUCAUUUUUGUUCUAUGGGCAAAAAGCCAUGUCCUUAAGCUUCUACACUGGAACUUUUCUUUCAGUCUGUGCUCCUCCUCACCCCACCUCAGGACUAGAUGUGGUGACUUCUUUUGGGGGGCACCUCCAGGUUGCGUGUCAGGAGGCCUGGGGUUACAUCCUGGUUCUGUGACUAACUGUGCAAUCUGAUUCAGAGCUACUGUUAAGGUGACAGACUGUCUAGGUUGGCCCAGAGCUGCAGAGUUUCCCAGGAUAUGGGACUUUCUGUGCUAAAACCAGGAAGGACCCCAGCAAACCAGGACGAGCUGGGCCCCAUCCUCUAAAUCCACCUGGUCCUCCAAGUUGAGUGGCAGGCCUCAAAACU